rfam:Aeromonas schubertii strain ATCC 43700 Scaffold7, whole genome shotgun sequence.
UUUCACGGCUGAAUUAGAGAUCGGCUGUGAACCUUUAAACACUCUAGCUGGAGUAGACACAUGUCUCUAAAUGCUGAAAUCAAGGCUCAGAUCGUAGCCGAACACGCUCGUGGCGCC